rnacentral:rRNA from 1 species
UGGGGAAUAUUGCACAAUGGGGGAAAGACCCUGAUGCAGCGACGCCGCGUGAAGGAAGAAGUAUCUCGGUAUGUAAACUUCUAUCAGCAGGGAAGAAAAUGACGGUACCUGACUAAGAAGCCCCGGCUAACUACGUGCCAGCAGCCGCGGUAAUACGUAGGGGGCAAGCGUUAUCCGGAUUUACUGGGUGUAAAGGGAGCGUAGACGGAGCAGCAAGUCUGAUGUGAAAGGCAGGGGCUCAACCCCUGACGUGCAUUGGAAACUGUGUAACUAGAGUACAGGAGGGGCAGGCGGAAUUCCUGGUGUAGCGGUGAAAUGCGUAGAUAUCAGGAGGAACACCGGCGGCGAAGGCGGCCUGCUGGACUGAAACUGACGUUGAGGCUCGAAAGCGUGGGGAGCAAACAGGAUUAGAUACCC